UACGAAGGGGGCUAGCGUUGUUCGGAUUUACUGGGCGUAAAGCGCACGUAGGCGGAUCGUUAAGUCGGGGGUGAAAUCCUGGAGCUCAACUCCAGAACUGCCUUCGAUACUGGCGAUCUAGAGUCCGGAAGAGGUGAGUGGAAUUCCUAGUGUAGAGGUGGAAUUCGUAGAUAUUAGGAAGAACACCAGUGGCGAAGGCGGCUCACUGGUCCGGUACUGACGCUGAGGUGCGAAAGCGUGGGGAGCAAACAGG
rnacentral:rRNA from 1 species